UACGUAGGGGGCAAGCGUUGUCCGGAUUUAUUGGGCGUAAAGAGCGUGUAGGCGGCCAGGUAGGUCUGCUGUGAAAAUUCGAGGCUUAACCUCGAGCUGUCGGCGGAAACCAUCUGGCUAGAGUCCGGAAGAGGAGAAUGGAAUUCCCGGUGUAGCGGUGAAAUGCGCAGAUAUCGGGAAGAACACCCGUGGCGAAGGCGGUUCUCUGGGACGGUACUGACGCUGAGGAGCGAAAGCGUGGGGAGCGAACAGG
rnacentral:rRNA from 1 species